rnacentral:rRNA from 1 species
AUUGAACGCUAGCGGGAUGCCUUACACAUGCAAGUCGAACGGAGUGGCGAACGGGUGAGUAAUGUAUCUGAACGUGCCCAGUCGCGGGGGAUAACUACGCGAAAGCGUAGCUAAUACCGCAUACUAUUUGAGCGGCCGAUAUAGGAUUAGCUAGUUGGUGGGGUAACGGCUCCCGAAGGGGACGAUCCCUAGCUGGUUUGGGAGGACGACCAGCCACACUGGGACUGAGACACGGCCAAGAGUCCUACGGGAGGCAGCAGGGGGGAAUUUUGGAAAAUGGGGGAAACCCUGAUACAGCCAUCCCGCGUGUGCGAUGAAGGCCUUCGGGUUGUAAAGCACUUUUGGCAGGAAAGCGGUACCUGCAGAAUAAGCACCGGCUAACUACGUGCCAGCAGCCGCGGUAAUUC